UACAGAGGUCUCAAGCGUUGUUCGGAUUCAUUGGGCGUAAAGGGUGCGUAGGCGGCGCGGUAAGUCGGGUGUGAAAUCUUGGAGCUUAACUCCGAAACUGCAUUCGAUACUGCCGUGCUUGAGGACUGGAGAGGAGACUGGAAUUUACGGUGUAGCGGUGAAAUGCGCAGAUAUCAGGAGGAACACCGAUGGCGAAGGCAGCCCCCUGGGUCAAGAUUGACGCUCAUGCACGAAAGCGUGGGGAGCAAACAGG
rnacentral:rRNA from 1 species